ensembl:lncRNA
GGAUAGUUUAAUGCAGCUAACAGAACAGCCUAACAAAACAAUCUUUUCUCUGAUUAUUUUAAACUUAAAGUGACCCUUGCGUGAGUCAUUUUAGUCAUUUAAUGCACAUACUUUACAACAUUGUGUGGCCAUCUUCUUAGCUGGUGGCCCCUUGUAAGUUUUUUGCAUGUAAAACUGGUCUCCCCAACCAGCUUUCCAUAUGUGAAAUUCUAUGCUGGGUUGGUAAUGGGGUUAUUCCCUUGCCCAAAGCUGACCUCAACUGCUGCACAGUCAUCAAUUCUUAACAACCUCUGUCUUUGGCAUGGACUCUCUGAACGUUAGCGUCUCCAUGGAAACAUAACAGUAGACCCACAUUGUGCAUGUACGGGGUUCACAGUUCUUUACAUUCUCUUCCAAGGAUGGCCAUGAAGUCUAAUUACAGGGUUGGAUUUGGUUUAACAAGUAUGUAUCAAUGUACUGUAUACUGUCUGUGAAACAGAAAUGCCUUUUUAAGAUUUAAGAAGAAUAUGGAACCGCAGAUUAAAUUGCCUGCAGAACACAGCUACCUAUUUCACAGAUCACUUUCAGGGUAUCACAGGGUGUUUUUGACAAUAGACUAUAUUUUUCUUCAACAUUUCAAGACACAAAAGAGGACUGAGCAUGAAGACAGAUACAUCAUUUUCACAUUUUCUUUAAAAGUCUAAGUGGAAGAGAUGAUAGAAGUAUGAGAGGAGAAAUACUAUGUGAGAGAUGUGAAUUUUUUUAUAUUAUUUAGUUUGAAAGUGUCCCAAGCUGAUGAUAAGUCUGCUGAGGUCCAAGUGCAACACAUCUAUGUGUGGAACUCCGGAAAAGACAGGAGAGGGCUCAGGACUUCAUGGCAGUCUUUAACAAAGCAAAGUAGUUUUUAUGAGCUAUGCUUUCUGUCACUGAACAUCAAGCAUAGAACCAUUUUUUCAAGAGCUAUCAUUGACACAAAUAGGACUUCUUAAUGAAUAGUCUUGUUAAGGGAUGUCCUAUGCAAAACAUGUAAUCACCCACUGAUACCUGUGU